rnacentral:lncRNA from 9 species
UUUUUUUUUUUUUUUUUUUUUUCGGUGGAACAGAGCUUGAUUAGGUCUUUUGAAAAAUGAGAUAUAAUUAACAUAUGACAUAUUAGUUUCAUGUGUACAGCAUAAUUUGUUGACAUGUAUAUAUUGCAAAAUGAUCACCACAAUGGUUCUAGUCAACAUCUCUCACCAUACAUAGGUACAAAAAUGUGAUUUUCUCCUCAUGAGGGCUUUAAAGAUCGACUCUUGGAGAAGUUUCAAAUGUGUUUAUUAUCAACUAUAGUCACCAUGCUGUACAUUAUAUCUCCAUGGCGUAUUUACUUUAUAACUGGAAGUUUGACCCUCGUUACCCGUUUUGCUCACACUCCCCCCUGCCCCCAUCACCUCUGGCAACCACCAGUCUGUUCUCUGUAUCUAUAAGGGUUUUCUUUUUUAAUUUUUAUUUUAAGAUUCCGUAUAUAAGUGGGGUCAUACUUUGUCUUUCACUGCCUGACUUACUGCACUUACAGACAGCUUUUUUCUUUACUCUACCCCCAAUAAGCCACAAUUUGGCUUAGUCAAUAUUUAGGAAGUGAGAAUGCAGAAGUUAGAGUAAAUAAGUGGGUCUAGUUUCCUCACUGUAAAGGAAAUCUUUUCUUUUCUUUCUUUCUUUUUUUUUUUUUCCGGUCUUUUUGGAGCCACACCAGCAGCAUAUGGACAUUCCUGGGCUAGGGAUCAAAUCAGAGCUGUAGCUGCUGACCUACGCCACAGCCACAGCAACAUGGGAUCCCAGAAGUGUCUGACACCUACAACGACCCACAACGUAGCUCACAGCAACACCAGAUCCUUAACCCACUGAACAAGGCCAGGGAUCGAACCCACGUCUUCAUGGAUACUAGUAAGGUUCGUUAACCACUGAGCCAUGAUGGGAACUACAGGAAAUCAUUUUUGUUUGUCAUUUGUGUAGACAAUGAUAAAAUGAUGGUAAAAAUUAUACUCAACACCAAGUUAGUUAACUUCAUUUAUGAAUAAGUGAGCAACCACCAGUUAAAUUCGGGGUAAUAUUCUGCAUGCUUCAUAUGCACACUUGCAUAAUCAUUAAAUUGCUAUAUACUGACUUAAUUGAAGGAUAUUGGGCAUCAGUCUUCCUAUGCUCUGACUUAAGGCAUCUCAUGAAACAUCUGAAUCGUUGCAAGAAAUCAACCUGACUUUUGGAAGAGAUGUUAUAGAGGGUAUCUUUGAUCGUGAAUAACAAAAUCUGGUCAUGACAGCCUAGCGUUUAGAGCACUAGUCAAUGGUGUCAGGGAUGCAGGGGCAAGAAACGAUGUAGGGAGGAACCACGAAAGGGUGGCAAUGAACUGGGUGGUCAGGAACUAGGCCAUUCGCUCCAUCACCUGAAGCCUGUAUGAUUGACAUCCUCUCUUCUUGUCCACGUCCAUUCUCUCCAAAAUGACUGCUCUGCUCCCACAUGGCCCAGAGUAGCUCUCUCAAGGCUUUCUAGUUUCAUUUGCACAUGCAAACCCCAGUAAUCUGGCCACAGCCUGUGCCUCUUAGUCCACACCUCCUCACGAGACAGAAGGAAAUAGUUGCGCCAGUGUAUCUGAUUUCAGCCAGUGUUCUGUCUGGAUUUAUAGUCCUGAGUUAGGGGUUCAAACCUGAUUUUAUCAUCUGUGGCCAAAGACUUGUAACCCUUUCAUAGGAACUUGACACCACGACAUUCCUCCUCAGUAGGAACCAAAGAAAGGGAGCCUAAGGGCCAAAGGAAAAAUGGAGACCGUGUAAAUAGCACAAAAGUGUAACUAAACCUUGGGAAGAUGAGAGGCCUCCUUAAGGACCUCAUGACCAGAAGUGAAGUAAUGAAUAGUCACAUGGUCAUUGGAUGGAAAUAAUAGACUUGAAGAUAUGAUAAUUUAAGAAUUUAUAUGUAAAUUAUCUGUUUAACCUUGAGAACCCCUAUCAUAUUUAUGUGAAUACUUCAUCCUGUCUUUGAUGUGGACAAAAGAGAGAAAAGCAAGUAAUAGGUGGGCUUUUGGUUUGAAAUUUUAAAACUGCUUAACAUAUUUAAAAGUUAGGCUAACACUAGAAAAAGAUUAAACACUUACCAUAUGAUCCCUGAGUGGGAUGUGGGAAAUAAAGUAAGUAUUGGUACAUCUUAAAUAAGCAAUUAGUACAAAUCUGGCUUUUUUUUUUUUUUUUUAACAUUUCUCCACUUUAAAUGACAGUGCUUCCUAACCUUAAAACUCAUUCUGUUUCUUGUAUCUAGCUCUCCAUCAGAAGCCAGCAGCAGUAAAAGCGACCUGUCUUGCAGUAAAAGUGACUGAAGAAGACUGUCAAAAGCCAUAGCCUAGAGAAAAGAUACGACCGAGAAACUCGCCCUUAACUGGGCUGAUUCAAGAAUGAAUCCUAUCUGCUUUUCUCUCCUUUUGUCAUGGCAGCUUUCAAUUUCACAAGCCCAAAUAAAUCCUG